rnacentral:lncRNA from 1 species
AGGAGAGGACAGGUAGAUUUGCGUGUCAUCUGCAUAGAAAUUAUAUUGGAAGCCAAAGGAGCUAAUGAGUUUACCAAGGGAGGCAGUAUAGAUGGAGAACAGUAGGGGACCAAGGACUGAACCUUGGGGGACACCAACAGAGAGGAGUUGGGGAGAAGAAGCAGAGCCAGAGAAAGAAACACUGAAAGAGCGCUGGGAGAGGUAG